rnacentral:rRNA from 1 species
CCACAUUAGAGUUUGAUCCUGGCUCAGGACGAACGCUGGCGGCGUGCCUAAUACAUGCAAGUCGAACGAACUCUGGUAUUGAUUGGUGCUUGCAUCAUGAUUUACAUUUGAGUGAGUGGCGAACUGGUGAGUAACACGUGGGAAACCUGCCCAGAAGCGGGGGAUAACACCUGGAAACAGAUGCUAAUACCGCAUAACAACUUGGACCGCAUGGUCCGAGCUUGAAAGAUGGCUUCGGCUAUCACUUUUGGAUGGUCCCGCGGCGUAUUAGCUAGAUGGUGGGGUAACGGCUCACCAUGGCAAUGAUACGUAGCCGACCUGAGAGGGUAAUCGGCCACAUUGGGACUGAGACACGGCCCAAACUCCUACGGGAGGCAGCAGUAGGGAAUCUUCCACAAUGGACGAAAGUCGAUGGAGC